ensembl:lncRNA
CAUCGCUGUUCUGUUGUGCAGCGUGCGAGCUCAAUGUCAUGUGUUCACACGGUGGAACACCUCCAAGCAAAUUUUAACGCCUGCUUUGAAGUUCAAAGUUCUGGCUGCUGUGGCUGGUGCCAGAUGUGACCCCGGGGCCGGGCAGAAUCGCUGAGCGAGCGCACCUUUGGUGGUGAUGAGGUAAGGGUUGUGGUUGGCCUCGGGGGGCCGAGAGGUCCGACACAAAGACAAGAACAACAUCUGGGACCUCGACGCGGAGCAAAGUGCUUCUAUUAGAGCAGCAAAACAACGUGGACUCUGUCACUUCCGGAUGCGGCCUCGUGGCUCCCGUCUGAAUUUGAUUUACAUCGGACAGAUUGUAUCUGCAGCUUCGCUCUUCGGGAUUGAAGACGGUCGUCACCCGAGGAGCUGAAGACAUUUAUUUCAACCAAAAUAAUUGACGGUUUUCAUGCAGUGGCGUGUCCUGCUUCUGUCUCCGGACCCGCUGGACAGAAAUACUAACGGCGCCACCUUCAGGCACAUAUUUGCACGUGCACCUUUUUUCUGGCCCGCAUUGACGUGCGGUUGACUUUGGGAGGUGGUGCUGCAUAACUGAGCUUGAGUGAGUCAGGAAUUUCUUUCAGAUAAAGAUCUCUUCUGAAUUCAGGUAGAUGGCACCAGUGUGUGUGUGUGUGUGUGUGUGUGUGUGUGUGUG